rnacentral:lncRNA from 1 species
CUUUCCAUGGACAGGGAAGUGGCUUAGUGUUAAGAGAUGCAGAAAGUACCUGCUUUGCAUUCUGAAAUACCUAUUUUCCCACAAAAUUUCUCUCCUACUUCACUUCUCCCUGGCCCCGACAGCUACUUCCUCGAGGCCCUUUGCUGUUGUGUGCAAUGUGCGCUGCAGUACCACACCUGAUGCAGGUAACUCUGCGUUAUAGUGCACUUGCAGAGAGAAAUAUAGAUAGAUACAUAACAGAAUACCAGUGUAACAUACUUAUGAGAUCAAUAAAGCUGAAUGUGCAAAGUAGUCAGGCACGCCGUGCUUCAUACACAGGUAGUCUUUAUCUGCAUGUUGCCUUCUGGUUUUCCCCAGUUCUGACCACCGUAAGAUCUUCCCAGUGCGACCUUAGACAAGCCACUUGCCAUCUGUGCCUAGUUACCUCCUCUACAAAAUGCAAAUACUGUCAGUGUUUGCAAAAUUGUUUUUUGAUUCUCGUUGGAGCUAUACAAGGGUAGCUUUCUAAUUACUAAUUAUUUGAUGUAACCUCCAUGCUUUUAUUUGUAUAUUGUGCUCUUUAUUGUUAUGUUCAGGCUCCUAAAUACUUUGCAGCGCAUUGUAUUUCCUCUACAGGCACCAGAAAUGCCAGGGAAUCGGUUCUGUGUGCACGUAAGAGCCUCCCAAGAGAGGCAGCGCAGCUUUUUACAAUAUCAUGGACAGCAAAAGAAGAGAAUGGUAAUCCUACAGUAGCAAAAUACAUCUUCAGAAAGACAAGCUGUGCACUGCAGUCCCUCCCUUGUCUGGAUCCUGAAGUCAGGUUUCCAAGGGACCUUCCCUCUGCAAAUGAGUUGCCGGUUUGUCAAGAGGCAUUUCCAUGUUGUAUGCUGGGGCUGAAACUUGCGCGGACCUUUGAUGAAUUCGCAGUUGGUCUCCCAAGGGUAUGUUUUCUUCCCAUGAUAUUAAGCAUUUAUCACCACGCAGGACCUUCAUUUACAUCUGCCCUGCUGUUGCACUCUGAUAAAUAAACGUCCCAUAUCAGUACCUUCCCUUGAAGCAAGGGGAGGAAGUGUAGUAAUCUGUUGCAGUAGAUGAGCUGUUAACGCGAAGACACAAAGUGCAGAACUGUUGCGUUUGUUGUGCCCGACACCUAUCAGCACACUGCUAAUUAACUCUACUCUAUUUAUACCUCACUUUGUGAAGUUUGGAACUCAACUCUUCCAUUUUAAUUUGAAGCCUAGUCUUGAAGCUGAAAGAUAAAACCGAAACAUUACAUUUUCAGGGCGAUAUCUGUUAGGAAACAAUCUGAGGAACAAUUAAGAUACAAUAGCGGGGUUCUUCAUGCAGUAU